rnacentral:rRNA from 1 species
CCCUAGUAGCGGCGAGCGAAGCGGGAAAAGCUCAAAUUUGUAAUCUGGCGUCUUCGACGUCCGAGUUGUAAUCUCGAGAAGUGUUUUCCGUGAUAGACCGCAUACAAGUCUCUUGGAACAGAGCGUCAUAGUGGUGAGAACCCAGUACACGAUGCGGAUGCCUAUUACUUUGUGAUACACUUUCGAAGAGUCGAGUUGUUUGGGAAUGCAGCUCAAAUUGGGUGGUAAAUUCCAUCUAAAGCUAAAUAUUGGCGAGAGACCGAUAGCGAACAAGUACCGUGAGGGAAAGAUGAAAAGCACUUUGGAAAGAGAGUUAACAGUACGUGAAAUUGUUGGAAGGGAAACACAUGCAGUGAUACUUGCUAUUCGGGGCAACUCGAUUGGCAGGCCCGCAUCAGUUUUUCGGGGCGGAAAAGCAUAGAGAGAAGGUAGCAGUUUCGGCUGUGUUAUAGCUCUUUAUUGGAUUCGCCCUGGGGGACUGAGGAACGCAGCGUGCUUUUUGCAUGAGCUUCGGCUUAUCCACGCUUAGGAUGCGG